AGUGAACGCUGGCGGUAGGCCUAACACAGGCAAGUCGAACGGCAGCACAGUAAGAGCUUGCUCUUACGGGUGGCGAGUGGCGGACGGGUGAGGAAUACAUCGGAAUCUACUUUUUCGUGGGGGAUACGUAGGGAAACUUACGCUAAUACCGCAUACGACCUACGGGUGAAAGCAGGGGAUCUUCGGACCUUGCGCGAUUGAAUGAGCCGAUGUCGGAUUAGCUAGUUGGCGGGGUAAAGGCCCACCAAGGCGACGAUCCGUAGCUGGUCUGAGAGGAUGAUCAGCCACACUGGAACUGAGACACGGUCCAGACUCCUACGGGAGGCAGCAGUGGGGAAUAUUGGACAAUGGGCGCAAGCCUGAUCCAGCCAUACCGCGUGGGUGAAGAAGGCCUUCGGGUUGUAAAGCCCUUUUGUUGGGAAAGAAAAGCAGCAGGUUAAUACCCCGCUGUUCUGACGGUACCCAAAGAAUAAGCACCGGCUAACUUCGUG
rnacentral:rRNA from 1 species